GCCAGGGGGUGGCCGGGGGUGGCCACGGCCACCCCCCGUAGAAUCUCGGCCACCCCAUUGGCCACCCCAAGCACCACAUCAGAGCGGUUAAAAGUUUUGACGGCUGUGGAAAAAUGCGGAACCUUUCUCGCACCGCUAGUACACUGUCGGACCCUUUAGCCACGCGCAGCGCGCACACAUCCUGUAUUUGAAUUAAACGGCUCAAGCAUGGCCUGAGAAUGCCUGUUACCACCUGACGCUUCGACCGGCACCUGCGGCUAAGUGAAGAAACGCAAAACAGAAAGAAGGACCCUAGGUGGACAGAGUUUGGACAUACUCAACCAUUGUUUUGUCAACUCCACCCAGGCAGUGCACCAGGAGGAUUUAAUCAAAUAUACCUCAUAUCAGGAUCCACAAACAUGAACAUUUCGCAUAGAGGUAAACAUUGUACAAGAAGAUCGUUCUGAAGUGGUUAUUGUCUAUCCCAAAUGCUACAUCUUCCUUUAUGAAAUGCCUUGAUUCCCAUGAAGAACUCAGCCUUUUAUUUCACCUGUGCAGCCAUCAUGUACAAUUAAGUAAGAACUUUCUAUAGUUUGAAGGACUCAACACAACCCUUUAUUCGGCCCAUAAAAAACUUGAUCUCAUCAAGAGCCAUAUUUAUAUAUAAAUCCAUAUAAAAUAACAAUUUUACAAAUUAAAUAAGUAAAAUAAAAAUACAACAAUAACAAUAAUUUUCCCUUGAUUUCCAAGGCUCAGUUUGUCUAGAAAAGGCUGCUUCUGACACUAUCUUGUCCCAUAGUCAGACUUCAGCAUUUUCCAUUCUGAUUGGUCAAAUGACAAUGACAGCGAGGUCCUUAGCCAUCACAGUGGUCCAUAGUGGCUAGUGCAUGCUGCAAUGUCCCUUAUAAUGCCACAUAGUGAAACUCCCCAUCUCCUAACCAUUUUAUUUUUGUACAGACAAAGAAUCAAUACACUUCAUGAAAUCUACAUUGUUCUUCUUUGAACAGGUUUGAUUUUCUUUCUUCUUUCAAAAGGCAAAUCCAGUCUUUUAGAGCCCAUCUAUUGGUGGAUUGUCAGAUAAUCCGUGGAGUCCGGGGAGUCCGGGGAUAAUCCGGGGAGUCAGGUGGCUGAGCGGUUAGGGAAUCGGUCUAGUAAUCAGAAGGUUGCCGGUUCGAUUCCCCACCAGGCCAAUGACGUUGUGUCCUUGGGCAAGGCACUUCACCCUACUUGCCUCGGGGGAAUGUCCCUGUACUUACUGUAAGUCGCUCUGGAUAAGAGCGUCUGCCAAAUGACUAAAAUGUAAAAUGUAAUCCAACCACUCUAGGGAUAUGAUUGGCUGGCUGGAUCACCCACCUGAUGAAGGUUUGCAGUGUUCUCGUCUGUGGUUGGCUGACCAGCCUGUCAGUCAGCUCGAUGGCUCCUUGAGGAGCAGGAGUCUAAAAUCACAGAGAGUUUCUCUCUUCCUCCUCAUUCCUCUUUCCAAGUGUCUCUACAUCACAGACAGAAAAUUGUUAAUAGACGGACAUCAGACACAAAAGAAAACGAAAUGGCUUUUAUUGCUGCUAUUGUUGGUGCUGUUUCUGGUGCGGCUGGUGCUGCUACUGGAAUCGGGGUGGCCAUUGCUAACUCGAUUCACCAUAACACCCAUGUGGCAAAUGCGUCCAAUGAAGUUCUUCUGAUUCAAAUCCACGGGCCAGGUGGAACCACCAAUGAAGAGAAAGUCAAGCCAGGAGACGUCGCACAUUCUGGCACUGAAAAAGGCCAGGUUGAAAUAAUAGUCUUCAGAGCAGACAAGCCACAUUUGUAUGAGGUCAGAAGGGAACUGCCCUCUGACAUCAGCGUAGUCGUCAAAGAAGUCAAUGGCCAACUUAAAAUUGUACGGGUGAAAUAUGGCACACUUUGGGAGGAAGAUGAGUAAAAUGUGCAAAGCUAUGUAAGCUAUAAUGAUCCCUAAUGACUCGUUAAGGCUGUGACUGACAACCUGUAUGAUAAAAGGAUAAUAAAGCACAGUUGUUUGACAUUA